rnacentral:rRNA from 1 species
UACGUAGGGGGCAAGCGUUGUUCGGAAUUACUGGGCGUAAAGGGCGCGUAGGCGGCAUGGCAAGUCAGGAGUGAAAGGCCUGGGCUCAACCGAGGAACUGCUUUUGAUACUGCCAAGCUAGAGUGCGGAAGGGGCAACUGGAAUUCCCAGUGUAGCGGUGAAAUGCGUAGAUAUUGGGAAGAACACCGGUGGCGAAGGCGGGUCUCUGGGCCGAUACUGACGCUGAGGAGCGAAAGCGUGGGGAGCGAACAGG